rnacentral:rRNA from 1 species
GUGCCAGCAGCCGCGGUAAUACGUAGGGUGCGAGCGUUGUCCGGAAUUACUGGGCGUAAAGAGCUCGUAGGUGGUUUGUCGCGUCGUUUGUGUAAGUCCACGGCUUAACUGUGGGAUGGCAGGCGAUACGGGCAUAACUUGAGUGCUGUAGGGGAGACUGGAAUUCCUGGUGUAGCGGUGAAAUGCGCAGAUAUCAGGAGGAACACCGAUGGCGAAGGCAGGUCUCUGGGCAGUAACUGACGCUGAGGAGCGAAAGCAUGGGUAGCGAACAGGAUUAGAUACCCUGGUAGUCC